CCUUGAAGAAGUGCUUAAAGUGCCACAAUGAUCAAAUUUGUACGUCUUGAUUUUUUAGGUGUAUCACAUAGAACUCUAUUAAAGAAUGAAAAUGCUGUCUACCGUU